CCACGCCGUAAACGAUGGGUGCUAGGUGUGGGCGGUGUCGACUCCGUCCGUGCCGAAGCUAACGCAUUAAGCACCCCGCCUGGGGAGUACGGCCGCAAGGCUAAAACUCAAAGGAAUUGACGGGGACCCGCACAAGCAGCGGAGCAUGUUGUUUAAUUCGAUGCGACGCGAAGAACCUUACCAGGGCUUGACAUGCACAGGAAUGUCGUGGAAACACGGCAGCCCUUCGGGGCCUGUGCACAGGUGGUGCAUGGCUGU
rnacentral:rRNA from 1 species